rnacentral:sRNA from 1 species
AUUAGAUUAUUUUAAUUAUAGUGAUUAGAGUUUGGGUGGAAGCCACAAUUAUUUAAUUUAAUUAAAAAAGAUUUAUUUUUAACCUAACCGCUAUCGCCCGCAACCGCAAACGCUUGCGGGAAGGAGCUUUUGAAAACGGACAAUUUUGAGCGGUCCAAAGCGAUGUCUAGCGGUUUUUAUGAUUGGUGUCAAUCGCUAACAACCGCUAACAAUCGCUACCAACCGUAAACGCUGUGUUUGCGGGUGGUAGAGGGAGAACCAAUCAAGCCUUAAGUUCUGGUUUUCUACCU